rnacentral:rRNA from 1 species
AUUGAACGCUGGCGGCAGGCCUAACACAUGCAAGUCGAGCGGAGCGGCGGAGGGGGGAGUAAUGCUAAGGAAUCUGCCUGGGAGUGGGGGAGAACGUCCGGAAACGGACGCUAAUACCGCAAACUCUCGGAUUCGGCUGGGUCGGAUUAGCUAGUGGGUGGGGUAAAGGCCGACCAUGUCGACGAUCCGUAACUGGUCUGAGAGGAUGAGCAGUCACACUGGAACUGAGACACGGUCCAGACUCCUACGGGAGGCAGCAGUGGGGAAUAUUGGACAAUGGGCGAAAGCCUGAUGCAGCCAUGCCGCGUGUGUGAAGAAGGUCUUCGGGUUGUAAAGUACUUUAAGUUGGGAGGCGUUACCAACAGAAUAAGCACCGGCUAACUCCGUGCCAGCCGCCGCGGUAAUAC